rnacentral:rRNA from 1 species
CUUGGCGGCAAUAGCGUUGUGGUCCCACCUGAUCCCAUGCCGAACUCAGCAGUGAAACACAGUAGCGCCGAUGGUAGUGUGGGAGUUCCCAUGUGAGAGUAGGUCACUGCCAAGC